AACGAACGCUGGCGGCAUGCCUAACACAUGCAAGUCGAACGAAGGCUUCGGCCUUAGUGGCGCACGGGUGCGUAACGCGUGGGAAUCUGCCCUUGGGUUCGGAAUAACAGCGAGAAAUUGCUGCUAAUACCGGAUAAUGUCGCAAGACCAAAGAUUUAUUGCCCAAGGAUGAGCCCGCGUUGGAUUAGCUAGUUGGUGGGGUAAAAGCCUACCAAGGCGACGAUCCAUAGCUGGUCUGAGAGGAUGAUCAGCAACACUGGGACUGAGACACGGCCCAGACUCCUACGGGAGGCAGCAGUGGGGAAUAUUGGACAAUGGGCGAAAGCCUGAUCCAGCAAUGCCGCGUGAGUGAUGAAGGCCUUAGGGUUGUAAAGCUCUUUUACCCGGGAUGAUAAUGACCGUACCGGGAGAAUAAGCUCCGGCUAACUCCGUGCCAGCCGCCGCGGUAAGAC
rnacentral:rRNA from 1 species